rnacentral:rRNA from 1 species
CCUACGGGGGGCUGCAGUGAGGAAUAUUGGUCAAUGGACGAGAGUCUGAACCAGCCAAGUAGCGUGAAGGAUGACUGCCCUAUGGGUUGUAAACUUCUUUUAUAUGGGAAUAAAAUGUUCCACGUGUGGGAUUUUGUAUGUACCAUAUGAAUAAGGAUCGGCUAACUCCGUGCCAGCAGCCGCGGUAAUACGGAGGAUCCGAGCGUUAUCCGGAUUUAUUGGGUUUAAAGGGAGCGUAGGUGGAUUGUUAAGUCAGUUGUGAAAGUUUGCGGCUCAACCGUAAAAUUGCAGUUGAAACUGGCAGUCUUGAGUACAGUAGAGGUGGGCGGAAUUCGUGGUGUAGCGGUGAAAUGCUGAGAUAUCACGAAGAACUCCGAUUGCGAAGGCAGUUCACUGGACUGCAACUGACACUGAGGCUCGAAAGUGUGGGUAUCAAACAGGAUUAGAUACCCGUGUAGUC